AUUGAACGCUGGCGGCAGGCCUAACACAUGCAAGUCGAGCGAGCGGCGGACGGGUGAGUAAUGUAUGGGGACUGCCCGAUAGAGGGGGCUAACUACUGGAAACGGUGGCUAAUACCGCAUACUAUCGGAUAACCCAUAGGGGAUUAGCUAGUAGGUGGGGUAAAGGCUCACCUAGGCGACGAUGUCUAGCUGGUCUGAGAGGGUGAUCAGCCAAACUGGGACUGAGACACGGCCCAGACUCCUACGGAGGCAGCAGUUGGGAAUAUUGCACAAUGGGCGCAAGCCUGAUGCAGCCAUGCCGCGUGUGUGAAUAAGGCCUUAGGAUUGUAAAGUACUUUCGGCGGGGAGGCGUUACCCGCAGAAGAAGCACCGGCUAACUCCGUGCCAGCAGCCGCGGUAAUAC
rnacentral:rRNA from 1 species